ensembl:lncRNA
UAAAAGUCAAAAUAUACAGUGAAAAUCCAGGGCACACGCUUCCAGAGAGGCUAUGGAUGCAAUCAGAGAAUCACAGAAUAAUAAAACAUCUCAAGUUGGAAGAGAGGAGGACCAUUGAGUCCAACCGCUGGCUCCACACAGCACCACCCAGAAUCCAAACCCUGUCUCUGAGAGCAGUGUCCAAACGCACCUUGAACUCCCAACAGCUUGGGGCUAUGCCCACCGCCCUCUGGUGCAGACCCUGUCCCUAACCCCCACUGCCCCUCCCCUGACACAGCUCCAUGCCAUUCCUUCGGGCCCUGUCGCUGUCACAGAUUGCAGAGCUCAGCGCUGCCCCUCCACUCCCUGUGAGGAGCUGCAGCCACCAUGAGGCCUCUGUUAAUCUCUUUGCUCUGGGCUGAACCAACUCAGGGACCUCAGCCACUCCUCAUGCACCUUACCUUCCAGACCAUUCCCCGUCUUCAGAGCCCUCCUUUGGAUGCUCUGUGACAGUUUUAUGUCCUUCUUACGUGGUUGCACCUAAACCUGCACCCUGUGCUUGAUGUGAGACUGCACUAGCAGCCUUGCCGAGAGAUGAGUGAAGGAACAAAUCUCUGCCUCUCACCAGCCCCAGUGUUUUGAUAUAGUCCCUAAGCACAGAUGUCUGCCAGUGGCAUAGAGUGCCCGGCAUUGUUUCAGCCAUCCACACUCACUAAGCUGUCAGCUCCCUGUGCCACUGGGUCAUCUGGGCAUACGGGUCUUAUUCAAAUCCCCAUUCUGUCAAAUGAAGUCAGAGUGCAAGCAAUGUUUAUACUGGGGUUUGGCUCUCUAUCAGCAGUGCUUGCUCCAGAACAGGCUUGCCAGCUACCCCUCCCAGGCUUUUGGAUACAGUUGGGUUGGCAGAUCCUGUGCACUGCUUCACUGUGUUGCAAAAACCAUGAGAAUGAGAGGUUUUUGGCCCCAGACUGGUGGUCCUAUGGCUGGGUUCACGGCAUCUGCAGGGACGGGUGGCUGUGAUACAGGAUGAGGGAACAAAAGCCGAGGAAAAGAAGGAAAUCCUCCAGUCUCCAGUACAGAUGCUGAGGAAUGUGUGCCAUAAACCAAACCCAGAUGUCUUGACUGAUGAGCAAGCGCUAUCUUUAAUCUCUUAUCUUUCCAGCUUUGAGUUUCAUCAUCAUGCUAAGCGCCCCUAUCCUUACACUAGUCUAAUGAUUACUUUCUCCAAAGGGUUGAGGCGUGAUUCAGAAGCAGAAUGGUGACUCCUCACAUCAGAUUGAGUUACCGUCUGUCUCACACACGCUUUAGCUACAAGCUGCUAAAUAGCUUCCACGUCUGAAAAACACAGCUGGCACCCAGCUUCAAAAACACCGCUGCAGCCACCAGCAAGUAGUAACACUGGCUGAUGUAAGGAAAAUGCACUUUCCUCCCUACAACACAAGACCUUCUGAAAUUCUUAUUGUGGCUGCAACAGUUGGUGUGGUAGUUCUCCUCAUCCAUUCCACACUGUUGCCUGACGCAAGCUGCAUCGUGCUGCCCCAACAUGGGAUGCUUUCUCACCAGCUGUGCUGCCUGAUGAUUUCUUUACUACUGUCCUCCAGAAGCAGGCAAGCUUUUCCUGUCAUGUCCCGACAUCCUGAAGAAGACGGGAAACCUAUUGGAUCAUCC